GUAGGACGCUCUAAUACAGACAUGGUGCGAAGAGUCUAUUGAGCUAGUUGGUAAUCCUCCGGCCCCUGAAUGCGGCUAAUCCUAACUGCGGAGCACAUACCCUCAAACCAGGGGGCAGUGUGUCGUAACGGGCAACUCUGCAGCGGAACCGACUACUUUGGGUGUCCGUGUUUCAUUUUAUUCCUAUACUGGCUGCUUAUGGUGACAAUUGACAGGUUGUUACCAUAUAGCUAUUGGAUUGGCCAUCCGGUG
rfam:Human coxsackievirus B1 genomic RNA for partial polyprotein gene, isolate VR-687, ATCC